GACGAAGGGGGCUAGCGUUGUUCGGAAUCACUGGGCGUAAAGGGCGCGUAGGCGGCUUUAUAAGUCGGGGGUGAAAGCCUGUGGCUCAACCACAGAAUUGCCUUCGAUACUGUAGAGCUUGAGACCGGAAGAGGUAAGUGGAACUGCGAGUGUAGAGGUGAAAUUCGUAGAUAUUCGCAAGAACACCAGUGGCGAAGGCGGCUUACUGGUCCGGUUCUGACGCUGAGGCGCGAAAGCGUGGGGAGCAAACAGG
rnacentral:rRNA from 1 species